rnacentral:lncRNA from 1 species
CGCUAGACAUGCCAAGAUUAGAUAAGGAAUAGAGCAUACAGUUGAAACCAUUCGUUAGUGUCACACCUCAAAUCCUAUUAGGGCAGACUGACACCUGUAACCGAGGAGAGAGAACCAACUCAUAACCUUAUACUUCCCAUGCAUACCUCUAUGAAAACCCGAUAUUUAGACAACAUCAUGUUGCAUAUAAAGGAAAUAAUCACCU